GCUGUGAUGGCAGAAAGUUAAGGCGUUGGUUCGAAAAUCCAAUGGGGUCUCCCGCGCAGGUUCGAACCCUGCUCACAGCG